UCCGGCUUCACCUUCAGCAGCACCCAGAUGGUUUGGGUGCGACAGGCGUCCGGGAAGGUGCUUGAGGUCAUUGUGGGUAUUUGGAGUGAUGGCAGCAGCCCAAGCUACGCGUCGUCGGUCAAAGGGCGCUUCACCAUCUCCAGGGCCCACUCCCAGAGCACGCUCAACAAGCUGCAGAUGAACAGCCUCAGGGCCGACGACACGGCCACCUACUACUGCGCGAAAGCUGAUGGUUAUUGUG